CCAAUAGAAAUCAUUUCCAUUUGAAGACAAGGCAAUGGGUGAAAAGGCUCACAAACCGGAAUUGAAGUGUGAUGGCACCCAGUAACUGUGUGUGAAGAGCCACAGCUGAUAGAUCAACAACUUGCGCUCCUCAUGGAGAGCAGUACCCAGCGGACCCCAGUAUAACACAGCUCUGCCACCCACAAAGCUGGCGAAAGAGGUCAUGUGAUUAUAACUAACCUCCAGUCAACCAGAGGAUGGCUAAUUCCUGAUGUCUAAAAGCAGCAUUGAUCCCUUUCCAAUGAAUGAUCUUCACAUUCAGCAAAAAUCAAGCACUUUUCUACGGGAAAGAAAGAGGAUGCUUUUAAAUACUGUGAACAUGAAAGACUUUAAGACACAAAAUAGAUUUUAUCCAUCCCGAAAAAUUCCAGUGGAGCAGCUCAGAAUGUUAACACGUUUGCUCAUUAAUUAACCCUGCAUGUUUGAGCAACAAGUAUGAGUUAAUAUUCAAUGUACAUUAUUAGAUUAGUUAUACUAUA